rnacentral:tRNA from 1 species
AGUCUGUCAGACUUAAAUUGUCAACCACCUUGACGAGUCUUA